UACAGAGGGUGCAAGCGUUGUUCGGAGUUACUGGGCGUAAAGGGUGUGUAGGCGGUUGUUUAAGUUUGGUGUGAAAUCUCCCGGCUCAACUGGGAGGGUGCGCCGAAUACUGAAUGACUAGAGUGCGGGAGAGGAAAGUGGAAUUCCUGGUGUAGCGGUGAAAUGCGUAGAUAUCAGGAGGAACACCGGUGGUGUAGACGGCUUUCUGGACCGUAACUGACGCUGAGACACGAAAGCGUGGGUAGCAAACAGG
rnacentral:rRNA from 1 species